CCGAAUCCCAAGUGGCACUGAGGUAAGAUCACCCCCCACUAAACUCACACACCACAUAAUCCCACCCACACAUACAUACACAACCAAUCACACAAAUCUAUCCCCACACUCAUACAUGUGCCCUUGUCCGCUUAGCUGCGCUAUCUCCCCAGGACCUGAACAAUGGUUAGUUACUGUUACGAUGUCAGCCCUAUGUUGUCCCUUGUUUGGCCAAAGGUGCCAGGGAUCUUAACCAUGUUCUCCUACUGCUUUAUGCAGGGCCGGUGCAAGGAUUUCCUCCGCCCCAGUCAAAGAUCCAUUUUGCCGCCCCCCUCAUGUCACUCACAGAGGAGGAGUAUGUUGAAUGUAUUGCUUAUCUGUGCC